CUUUAUUUAUAAAUUGUUGACUUGAAUCAUCAUUGUAACUAUAAUGAUUACAACAUAUGGAUUAAGAAUA
rnacentral:snoRNA from 1 species